rnacentral:rRNA from 1 species
UACGUAGGGGGCAAGCGUUGUCCGGAAUCAUUGGGCGUAAAGCGCGUGUAGGCGGUUCAGUAAGUCUGCUGUGAAAGUCCAGGGCUCAACCCUGGGAUGCCGGUGGAUACUGCUGGGCUAGAGUACGGAAGAGGCGAGUGGAAUUCCCGGUGUAGCGGUGAAAUGCGCAGAUAUCGGGAGGAACACCGGGUGGCGAAGGCGGCCAUCUGGACGGUAACUGACGCUGAGACGCGAAAGCGUGGGGAGCAAACAGGG